rnacentral:rRNA from 1 species
GACGAACGCUGGCGGCGUGCUUAACACAUGCAAGUCGAACGGAAAGGCCCUGCUUUUGUGGGGUGCUCGAGUGGCGAACGGGUGAGUAACACGUGAGUAACCUGCCCUUGACUUUGGGAUAACUUCAGGAAACUGGGGCUAAUACCGGAUAGGAGCUCCUGCUGCAUGGUGGGGGUUGGAAAGUUUCGGCGGUUGGGGAUGGACUCGCGGCUUAUCAGCUUGUUGGUGGGGUAGUGGCUUACCAAGGCUUUGACGGGUAGCCGGCCUGAGAGGGUGACCGGCCACAUUGGGACUGAGAUACGGCCCAGACUCCUACGGGAGGCAGCAGGGGGGAAUAUUGCACAAUGGGCGGAAGCCUGAUGCAGCAACGCCGCGUGCGGGAUGACGGCCUUCGGGGUGUAAACCGCUUUCGCCUGUGACGAAGCGUGAGUGACGGUAAUGGGUAGAGAAGCACCGGCUAACUACGUG